GUCAUUUGAUUUGUUUUAUUGUAACAUACAAGAAUAUAUAUGGUUUCAGGGUGAGGAUCUUGACUGUUUACAAGUUUUCAAAAAAAAUAAAAUGCUUCGCUGGGCGCAGCUUGAUACGACCGCAGAGGUCGAACCCUGAACAGUUGGGGCAAGUAUGGACACAACAUUCAAGCUUGAUACAGCUCUGAAUUUGGAUUGUGAUUAAAUAUUUGACACAGCAUAGGUUUCUGACACAGAAAGAAUGUGGUCUAAGAACUUGAUUUUUUUUAAUUUACCUAUUAUGGUCCAAUGUCCAAAAUCAAAAUACAUGGUUAGAUUCAGCAUAUCAAAGAACCCCAUAUAUUCAAUUUUUGUUAAAAUCAAACAAAGUUUAAUUUUGGACCCCAACUUGGACCAACUUGAAAACUGGGCCCAUAAUCAAAAAUCUAAACACAUGUUUAGAUUCAGCAUAUCAAAGAACCCCAAGAAUUCAAUUUUUGCUAAAAUCAAAUUAAGUUUAAUUUUGGACCCUUUGGACCUUAAUGUAGACCAAUUUAAAAAACAGGACUUAAAAUUAAAAAUCUAAAUACACGGUUAGAUUUGGAAUAUCAAAGAACCCCAUAUAUUCAAUUUUUGAUGAAAUCAAACAAAGUUUAAUUUUGGACCCCAACUUCAACCAACUUGAAAACUGGGCCCAUAAUCAAAAAUCUAAACACAUGUUUAGAUUCAGCAUAUCAAAGAACCCCAAGAAUUCAAUUUUUGUUAAAAUCAAACUAAGUUUAAUUUUGGACCCUUUGGACCUUAAUGUAGAUCAAUUUAAAUAAAAUGCUUUGCUGGGGCGCAGCUUGAUACGACCGCAGAGGUCGAACCCUGAACAGUUGGGGCAAGUAUGGAAACAACAUUCAAGCUUGAUAUAGCUCUGAAUUUGGAUUGUUAUUAAAUAUUUGACACAGCAUAGGUUUCUGACACAGAAAGAAUGUGGUCUAAGAACUUGAUUUUUUUUAAUUUACCUAUUAUGGUCCAAUGUCCAAAAUCAAAAUACAUGGUAAGAUUCAGCAUAUCAAAGAACCCCAUAUAUUCAAUUUUUGUUAAAAUCAAACAAAGUUUAAUUUUGGACCCCAACUUGGACAAACUUGAAAACUGGGCCCAUAAUCAAAAAUCUAAACACAUGUUUAGAUUCAGCAUAUCAAAGAACCCCAAGAAUUCAAUUUUUGCUAAAAUCAAACUAAGUUUAAUUUUGGACCCUUUAUACCUUAAUGUAGACCAAUUUAAAUAAAAUGCUUCGCUGGGGCGCAGCUUGAUACGACCGCAGAGGUCGAACCCUGAACAGUUGGGGCAAGUAUGGACACAACAUUCAAGCUUGAUACAGCUCUGAAUUUGGAUUGUUAUUAAAUAUUUGACACAGCAUAGGUUUCUGACACAGAAAGAAUGUAGUCUAAGAACUUGAAUUUUUUUAAUUUACCUAUUAUGGUCCAAUGUCCAAAAUCAAAAUACAUGGUUAGAUUCAGCAUAUCAAAGAACCCCAUAUAUUCAAUUUUUG